ensembl:lncRNA lysosomal alpha-mannosidase-like
CAUGGCACUGACCCCCUCCCACCUCUCUGACCCCCUCCCAGAUGGGGUACGACGCGCUGUUCCUGGGCCGUGUGGACCACGAGGACAAGGCAGCGCGAGAGGAGCGCCGGGAGAUGGAGCUCAUCUGGAGGGCGGGGGGCAGCGGGCCCCCCCCCGACGGCGACAUCUUCACCGGAAUCCUCCCCAACAUCUACAACCCCCCCUCGGGGUUCUGCUGGGACCAGCUCUGCUCCGACCCCCCCGUGGUGGACGGGGACAGCGCCGAGAACAACGUGGACGUCCUGGUCACCUCCUUCCUGCAGGCCGCUGCCCAGCAGGCCAAGCGGUACCGCACCGACCACAUCGUGAUGACCAUGGGCUCCGACUUCCACUACGAGAACGCCAACCUCUGGUUCAAGAACCUGGACAAACUCAUCGCCCACGUCAACGCGCGGCAAGCCAACGGCAGCCGCGUCCACGUGCUGUACUCCACGCCGUCCUGUUACCUCCGGGAGCUGCACCGCGCCAACCUCACCUGGUCCGUGAAGACGGACGACUUCUUCCCCUACUCCGACGGCCCCCACCAGUUCUGGACGGGGUACUUCACCAGCCGGCCCGCCUUCAAGCGCUACGAGCGCCUCAGCAGCAACUUCCUGCAGGUGGGACCCCCCUGGGACCCCCGGGACCCCCCGGGGACACCUCCGGGCACCAGGACCCCUCCCCAAUGCUCCGUCCCCCUGCAGAUCUGCAGCCAACUGGAGGCCCUGGCGGGGUCGGCUGCGCGCGACGGCCCCUACGGCACCGGGGACAGC